GUACGCGUUUGGCAGCACGCACACGCCCGUAUGGGUUCUUCUUGUUUACAAUGUUUGUACUGUACUACGCGCCAAGGCGGCGUUCAAUUCAAAUCGAUCGUCCCUAAGCUGCUCAGUCUCUCACCAUCGUCUGAUGUCUCACUCUAAUGCAUCAUGCAGGGGCGGCUGGUUACGAGUUCCGAAUUCCCCACCGGUUUCUGCCCGCAUCAUCGCGUCCUAUCUACCUGGCCCCCAAGAUGGUAACAUUUCGAGAUAGAUUGGCAUCGGCCAGGUGUCCAAGACGGUGUAGCCUCGUGGCGACAGUGCCCCUACGCAGAUUGGUGAGCCGACACCACCUAGCUUUCCAUGUGGGCGACGCCGGGGAAGUUAAGGCCGCAUAGUGGUGCGUGCAUCAACCUUAACCCACCUUUGCAUCAGUGAAAAGGAAUGUCUUGGAAAAUCUGGGCGCCGAUGCUGUUGAGGCACCUGCAAUGUUCGCCUCGCAAUAGUUACUUGACAGUCCGCCCUUACCCCUGUUGGAGAGGUGAGGCGAGAGUGAGACUGAUGAUGAUGUAUUAUGAAUAUGAUGCUGCUCUCUCUCUUCAUCUGGACUGGACCACAUGGGGUGCCACAGUGAAAGUCGGAUGCAGCUGAGCCAGGUGGACGUGGACGCGGACGCAUGCAUGGAUCUCUCCUCGCCUUUGCACCACAGCACACAACGGCAUAUUCGGAGGGGUCCAGGUCCAGGUCCAGGAUCCAUAUACACGCGCACUGUGCACAUCACUAGAAAAUUUAGUUUUAGGAUCUACGAGCCACUGUACAUAUAUACGCUACCGGCACAAGGUAGGGCGCUCACGUGACGAGUUGGAUCAUUGGAGACGAGGUAUCAUGAACCUGAUACAGUACGACCUCGGAGGAAACCUCGCAUCAAUAUAAUGGAGGGAGUAUGUACCAAGUCCUAUCCGUGUACGGACACGUACACGUGACGAUAUGUUUCGAUAAUCCGAGCACAGUACAUUGGAGGCGCUGGCAAUCUUGUCGUGAGGGUGGGCGAGGAACCUUCUGCGGAUAUAGAUGCAAGCAAGCUAGCUCACAAAUCUAUAUACAAAUUUAAUUUUAAUAGUUGUCAGGAACAACCCAUUAAUUAAGGACGUAUUCGGUUUGGGGAUAGAGACGAGGUGGGAUAUCUAAUUUCAUCCAUUGUAUUGUUGAGAGACACUAGGGACGAAGUCAUCCUCAACCAAGAAUAUUUCCUCAUUUCGAGUAGCAUGUACCUAAAAUUUCAUUUUUCU
rnacentral:lncRNA from 1 species